AGGCUGAUUCAGACACAAGGAAUAACUUGAAAACUCAGAUGUGCUGGCAGCCUCUCUGACUGUGGGUGAAGCUGGCUAUGACGCUGCUGAAGGAACAGGGACCCUACUAGCCAAGCGAGGGAGAGUCCAGGCUUUGAGUGACUCUGGGGUCAAGAGGGGUUCACCCAGGACCAGCUUGAGUUUUUCCAGGACACCUCUCUCCGUGCACCUCUUGAUUUGGUUCAAAAGACCAGAAGCACGGACUUCUCUCUGGCAGUGGGAGUGAACCACUCCAUAUGCGAGGCACUGGAGCCCCAAAAGUGUCCCAUAUGCUCCCAAGGAAGGAUUUGCAGAUCCGACAUAACAGCUUAGGAUGCCAAGCUUGGGAGAGGAGAGAUGCCAGGUGAGAGCUGGAGUACCAAGGCCAGGGCCGGGCGCCAGCAGGAUAAUCUGAUGUUGCCGAAGAUAUAGAGGAGGACCUGAUGCCAGAAGCCUGAGGCAGCCAAGGUUCUCCGGGCACAAAGGCUUUGUGACACCUUUCAA
ensembl:lncRNA